rnacentral:rRNA from 1 species
AUUGAACGCUGGCGGAAUGCUUUACACAUGCAAGUCGAACGGCAGCACGGGUGCUUGCACCUGGUGGCGAGUGGCGAACGGGUGAGUAAUGCACCGGAACGUACCCAGUAAUGGGGGAUAACACAUCGAAAGAUGUGCUAAUACCGCAUAAGCACUGAGGGGGAAAGCGGGGGAUCGUAAGACCUCGCGCUAUUGGAGCGGCCGAUGCCGGAUUAGCUAGUUGGUGGGGUAAAGGCCCACCAAGGGGACGACCCGUAGCUGGUCUGAGAGGACGACCAGCCACACUGGGACUGAGACACGGCCCAGGCUCCUACGGGAGGCAGCAGUGGGGAAUUUUGGACAAUGGGGGAAACCCUGAUCCAGCCAUUCCGCGUGAGUGAAGAAGGCCUUCGGGUUGUAAAGCUCUUUCGCAAGGAAAGAAAACUUAUCUACUAAUACUAGGUGAGGUUGACGGUACCUUGAUAAGAAGCACCGGCUAACUACGUGCCAGCCGCCGCCGUAAGAC